rnacentral:rRNA from 1 species
GAUGAACGCUAGCGACAGGCCUAACACAUGCAAGUCGAGGGGCAGCACAUGAGUAGCAAUACGAUGGUGGCGACCGGCGCACGGGUGAGUAACACGUAUGCAACCUGCCUUCUACUAUGGGAUAACCCGUUGAAAGACGGACUAAUACCGUAUAAUACAGGGGCUCCGCAUGGAGAUAUUUGUUAAAGAUUUAUUGGUAGAAGAUGGGCAUGCGUAUGAUUAGAUAGUUGGUGGGGUAACGGCUCCACAAGUCAACGAUCAUUAUGGGUUCUGGGAGGAAGGUCCCCAACACUGGUAAUGAGACAAGAACCAGACUCCUACGGGAGGCAGCAGUGAGGAAUAUUGGUCGAUGGACGUGAGUCUGAACCAGCCAAGUCGCGUGAAGGAAGACGGUUCUAUGAAUUGUAAACUUCUUUUGUGCAGGAAUAAAGUGGGUUACGUGUAACCUUUUGUAUGUACUGUACGAAUAAGGAUCGGCUAACUCCGUGCCAGCAGCCGCCGUAA